AGACAGAGGCUCAUCCACACCAGAGGGGCAGUGACCUCCCUUCAUUGCUUAAGUAUAAGGGUGGCAGCAGGACUUAACCUGGUAUGAGGGGAGCAACGCGGUGCCAGGGCCUCAGGGAAGAUGAUCAGGGCCUGCGUAGCUGCAGGGUAAGUGAUGAGAGGGAAGCCAGGCUGCCAGCUCCAGAAACUAAAAAGAAGAGGAGGUGAUGGCGAAGAAGGAAGGACUGGAUGGAAAAGGAAUAAAGUUGCCUUAUUCUCCCCUUUC
rnacentral:lncRNA from 1 species